rnacentral:rRNA from 1 species
GACGAACGCUGGCGGCAUGCCUAACACAUGCAAGUCGAACGAUCCGUUCCGGGUUUGUGGCGCACGGCUACGUACCGAGUGGGAACCUGCCCUUAGGUUCGCAAUACCUCAGAGAAAUUUGAGCUAAUACCGGAUAAUGUCUUCGGACCAAAGAUUUAUCGCUUUUGGAUGGGCCCGCGUUGGAUUAGCUGGUUGGUGGGGUAAUGGCCUACCAAGGCCACGAUCCAUAGCUGGUCUGAGAGGAUGAUCAGUCACACUUGGCCUGAGGCACGGCCCAGACUCCUACGGAAGGGAGGAGUGUGUAACAUUGGACGAGGGAGGAAAGUCCGAUCCAGCCAUGCCGGGGAAGUGAUGAAGGGCGUAGGGUUGUAAAGUCCCUUUACCCGGGAUGAUAAUGACAGUACCGGGUGAAUAAGCCCCGGCUAACUCCGUG